rnacentral:rRNA from 1 species
AACGAACGCUGGCGGCAUGCCUAACACAUGCAAGUCGAACGAGACCUUCGGGUCUAGUGGCGCACGGGUGCGUAACGCGUGGGAAUCUACCCUUGGGUUCGGAAUAAUAGUUAGAAAUGACUGCUAAUACCGGAUGAUGACGUAAGUCCAAAGAUUUAUCGCCCAAGGAUGAGCCCGCGUAAGAUUAGCUUGUUGGUGGGGUAAUGGCCUACCAAGGCGACGAUCUUUAGCUGGUCUGAGAGGAUGAUCAGCCACACUGGGACUGAGACACGGCCCAGACUCCUACGGGAGGCAGCAGUGGGGAAUAUUGGACAAUGGGCGAAAGCCUGAUCAAGCAAUGCCGCGUGAGUGAUGAAGGCCUUAGGGUUGUAAAGCUCUUUUACCAGGGAUGAUGAUGACAGUACCUGGAGAAUAAGCUCCGGCUAACUCCGUGCCAGCCGCCGCGGUAA